GCUGGUGUAGCUCAAUUGGCCGAGCAGCUGAUUUGUAAUCAGCAGGUUAAGGGUUCGAGUCCCUUCACCAGCUCCA
rnacentral:tRNA from 1 species